GCUUGCUCUUAUGGGUGGCGAGUGGCGGACGGGUGAGGAAUACAUCGGAAUCUACUUUUUCGUGGGGGAUAACGUAGGGAAACUUACGCUAAUACCGCAUACGACCUACGGGUGAAAGCAGGGGAUCUUCGGACCUUGCGCGAUUGAAUGAGCCGAUGUCGGAUUAGCUAGUUGGCGGGGUAAAGGCCCACCAAGGCGACGAUCCGUAGCUGGUCUGAGAGGAUGAUCAGCCACACUGGAACUGAGACACGGUCCAGACUCCUACGGGAGGCAGCAGUGGGGAAUAUUGGACAAUGGGCGCAAGCCUGAUCCAGCCAUACCGCGUGGGUGAAGAAGGCCUUCGGGUUGUAAAGCCCUUUUGUUGGGAAAGAAAUCCAGCCGGCUAAUACCUGGUUGGGAUGACGGUACCCAAAGAAUAAGCACCGGCUAACUUCGUGCCAGCAGCCGCGGUAAUACGAAGGGUGCAAGCGUUACUCGGAAUUACUGGGCGUAAAGCGUGCGUAGGUGGUUGUUUAAGUCUGUUGUGAAAGCCCUGGGCUCAACCUGGGAACUGCAGUGGAAACUGGACGACUAGAGUGUGGUAGAGGGUAGCGGAAUUCCCGGUGUAGCAGUGAAAUGCGUAGAGAUCGGGAGGAACAUCCAUGGCGAAGGCAGCUACCUGGACCAACACUGACACUGAGGCACG
rnacentral:rRNA from 1 species